CCUACGGGAGGCAGCAGUGAGGAAUAUUGGUCAAUGGGCGCAAGCCUGAACCAGCCAAGUCGCGUGAGGGAAUAAGGCCCUGCGGGUCGUAAACCUCUUUUGCCGGGGAGCAGUGGUCCGGACGCGUCCGGACCGGGAGAGAACCCAGAGAAAAAGCAUCGGCUAACUCCGUGCCAGCAGCCGCGGUAAUACGGAGGAGGGGAGCGUUAUCCGGAUUUAUUGGGUUUAAGGGGUGCGUAGGCGGGCAUUCAGGCCGGCGGUAAAAUGGCGGGGCUCAACCGCGUCCUGCCGUUGAAACUGGGUGUCUUGAGUGGGCGAGAAGUAUGCGGAAUGCGUGGUGUAGCGGUGAAAUGCAUAGAUAUCACGCAGAACCCCGAUUGCGAAGGCAGCAUACCGGCGCCCUACUGACGCUGAGGCACGAAAGUGUGGGUAUCGAACAGGAUUAGAUACCCUAGUAGUC
rnacentral:rRNA from 1 species